UUGAAGCGCGGGUAAGACCGCGUGGAGGACCGAACCCACCUGGGUUGAAAACCGGGGGGAUGACUUGGGGCUAGGGGUGAAAGGCCAAUCAAAUUCCGUGAUAGCUGGUUCUCUCCGAAAUGCAUUUAGGUGCAGCGUCGGUUGAUUGCAUCGCGGGGGUAGAGCUACUGGAUGCUUGCGGGCCCGUGUCGGGUACCAAUAGCAGCCAAACUCCGAAUACCGUGGAUGUGUAUUCCGGCAGUGAGUCGGCGGGGGAUAAGCUCCGUCGUCGAGAGGGAGACAGCCCAGAUCGUCGUCUAAGGUCCCGAAGCGUGUGCUAAGUGGGAAAGGAUGUGGAGUCGCAUAGACAGCCAGGAGGUUGGCUCAGAAGCAGCCAUCCUUGAAAGAGUGCGUAACAGCUCACUGGUCUAGUGGUUCCGCGCCGACAAUGUAGCGGGGCUCAAGCACACCACCGAAGACGCGGCAGCGGCCUUUGUGGCCGUUGGGUAGGAGAGCGUCCCGCGUGGGGCGAAGCGGCCGGGGAACCGUGCCGUGGACCGCGCGGGAGUGAGAAUGCAGACAUGAGUAGCGAGAGACGGGUGAGGAUCCCGUCCGCUGGAUGACCAAGGGUUCCGGGGCCACGUUCGUCGUCCCCGGGUGAGUCGGGUCCUAAGGCGAGGCCGACAGGCGUAGUCGAAUGGAUGAACGGGUGGAUAUUCCCGUACCGGCGGCGUACCGUAAGAGCCGAACGGAUGAGUACUAACCUCCGGUCGCGUGGCGUCGUUCCCUUCGGGGUUCGGGGUCCGCGGUCGUUGGGAGCGUAGUCCUGGUAGGCUAGCGCACAGGGGUGACACGGAAUGGGAGCCGGCCGCGGAGGUGGUUUUCCGUGGUCAAGCACGCAGCCCGUCCCAUAGGCAAAUCCGUGGGACGCAUAGGGUGAGGUGUGAUGAUGGGCGUCCUUUGGACGCGAUAUCCGGUGGUCCAGGCCGUCGAGAAAAGCCUCGGCGCGAGGGGCGUCGCCGCCCGUACCCCAAACCGACACUGGUGGUCAGGUAGAGAAUACCAAGGCGAUCGAGCGAAUCCUGGUCAAGGAACUCGGCAAAUCACUCCCGUGCCUUCGGUAUAAGGGAGACCCCCGGGCGUGAAGAGGCUUGCCCUCGGAGCGUUGGGGGGUGGCACAGACCAGGGGGUAGCGACUGUUUACCAAAAACACAGGUGCAUGCGAAGGCGCAAGCCGCUGUAUAUGCACUGACGCCUGCCCGGUGCCGGAAGGUUAAGAGGAUCCGUCAGCCCCUUUUGGGGUGAAGCGGUGAAUUCAAGCCCCGGUAAACGGCGGUGGUAACUAUAACCAUCCUAAGGUAGCGAAAUUCCUUGUCGGGUAAGUUCCGACCUGCACGAAUGGCGUAACGACUUCCCCACUGUCUCG
rnacentral:rRNA from 1 species